GCCUUAAGGAGACCAGUGACAAUGUGGCUGCUAAGCGCUUUCUUCUUGGCAGCUGUUUUUUCCUGUGUCUCUGCACAAGACUUGCAGCAAACCCCCAUAUCCAUCACAAAGUCAGAAGGUAAAACAGUGAUAAUCAACUGCCACGUCUCCAGUCCUGAUUUUAGCAACGUUUUCAUUCACUGGUACCGAAAGAGGGCCAGUGCAGCUCCAGAGCGUGUUGCCUACAUGUCCUCCAGGAUUUUCCUCGAAAACCAGUCAGAUGAGGGGAAGUUUAGUGUUGAGAAGGAUCUCAGCAAAUCUGUCUGCACCCUGACAGUGAGCAAAAUAACUCUGCAAGACUCCGCCACCUACUACUGCGCUAGGUGGGAUGCACAGCAGCAGAAAGCCAUAGGGGACCUGCACAAAGACUGCUCUGCUUUUGAAACCAGAUCCUGCAGUGUUUGACAGCAUACAGGAACAUCACCA